rnacentral:rRNA from 1 species
CCGCGGUAAUACGAAGGGGGCUAGCGUUGUUCGGAUUUACUGGGCGUAAAGCGCGUGUAGGCGGGUCGUUAAGUUGGGGGUGAAAUCCCGAGGCUCAACCUCGGAACUGCCUUCAAAACUGGCGACCUGGAGCAAGAUAGAGGCAAGUGGAAUUGCGAGUGUAGAGGUGAAAUUCGUAGAUAUUCGCAGGAACACCAGUGGCGAAGGCGACUUGCUGGAUCUUUGCUGACGCUGAGACGCGAAAGCGUGGGGAGCAAACAGG